GAUGAACGCUGGCGGCGUGCCUAAUACAUGCAAGUCGAGCGAACAGACGAGGAGCUUGCUCCUCUGAUGUUAGCGGCGGACGGGUGAGUAACACGUGGAUAACCUACCUAUAAGACUGGGAUAACUUCGGGAAACCGGAGCUAAUACCGGAUAAUAUAUUGAACCGCACGGUUCAAUAGUGAAAGACGGUUUUGCUGUCACUUAUAGAUGGAUCCGCGCCGCAUUAGCUAGCUGGUAAGGUAACGGCUUACCAAGGCAACGAUGCGUAGCCGACCUGAGAGGGUGAUCGGCCACACUGGAACUGAGACACGGUCCAGACUCCUACGGGAGGCAGCAGUAGGGAAUCUUCCGCAAUGGGCGAAAGCCUGACGGAGCAACGCCGCGUGAGUGAUGAAGGUCUUCGGAUCGUAAAACUCUGUUAUUAGGGAAGAACAAAUGUGUAAGUAACUAUGCACGUCUUGACGGUACCUAAUCAGAAAGCCACGGCUAACUACGUG
rnacentral:rRNA from 1 species